rnacentral:lncRNA from 1 species
CAGUUUUCACUUCUGUAAAUCAAGGUUUAAUUUUUUCACAAAAUACUAUUAAUAUUUACCAUUUACUAGGAGUAUCUAUAAGAGGUCCAAUUGGCUUGGAAAAGAAUGGCUUUUUAUUUUCUGUUAGAUAUAAUGUGACAAAUUAAAUGAUUUUAUCCCAAGGUACAGUGAGGUAAACAAAAAUCUAUUCUUAGAUAUCCUUAGAUUUGGUUAACUGAGGCUGUAGAAGCAGCGAAUUGUCUAGCCAUUUAAGUUAUUUUUGUAAAAUUCAGCAUAAACAUCAAUCUCUAAUUUCUAUC